rnacentral:lncRNA from 1 species
AAGCCAGACAUAUAAAUUUUAACUCUAAAUAUGAUGGCGUGAGGAAAGCAGGGGGGACUUUGGGAGGUGAUUGUUUGGAGGGUGAAGCCAACAUGAAUGGGACCGGUACAAUUAUUAAAGAGACCCCUGACAGAUUUGUUACUUUUUUCACCAUAUGAAGAUGUGAGGAGUCAGCCAUAGCCCAACAGAAAGAGUGUUCUCACCAGAAUCUGACGAUGCUGGGAUCAUGACCUCAGACUCACAGCCUCUAGAACUGUGAGAAGAUAAAUUUAUGUUGUCAGUAAAACACCUAGAUUAUGGUGUUUUGUUAUAGAAGCCCAAGCUGAUUAAGACAUCAAACAUGGUGUAUUGGGUAAUAAGAAUUGAGAUAAAUAGUAUGGGGUUUUAUGUUAAUCUGGCUAUGACUGGCCUAUAUUUAUUAUUUUCUGUAGGUGUAUGUGCCAGAGGCUUCGAAUUCCUCUAGUGUCCUUGUUUUUGUCUCAUUUGUUGUCUUUGGUUUCUGUAAGUACUUCCCUUCAGAGAGUCUAUACUUUGCAGCGAUUUCAGCUGCAGUGCACAGUUAUAUUGGAGCCUAAUUGGCACAUUUGUGGGAGAGGGAAAGGCUUCCAUAAUGAAAUAUGAUGAAAUCUCAUCCUUUGUCCCUGAGCUGUGACCUUGACAAGAAUUUCUUAACUUUUCCCCCACCCCUUAAUUAAGACAGAAAAGCUAAAGGGGACUGGAGUCGGAGAAAUACCCUUCCCCCAGAUGGUACAAGUUUCCAGUAAAGUCUUUUUCCUAGAGAACAGACUUUGUUAGGGAGAAUGAUCUAGCCAUGUUUUAUAAUGACAACUCAUUUUCAUAAGUAAAAUGGGUCUAUAUUGUUCUUAAUUUGGGAACAGGUUAAUAAUAAUCUUAUAAAUGGUAGUUGGUAGCUUUGGAUUUUUUUUUAAUUUCUAGAAUAAUUAUAUGAUUGGGGAAAUAACUAUUUCUUGCAAUAUUGGAAGUAAUUUGUAUCCUCGAAAUACUAAGCCGUGAGGUUUAAGUAUAAGUCUAGUGGCUGCAGUCCUAACCCCUUCCUCUUAGUACUCCUCUGAGCCACAUCUUAAGCAACUAUCUUGGGAAUGACUUCCAGGCAUUGAUUUGUGAAUACCAUGAAAAACUUGCAUUUAUCCAUAGUGAUAAUAUUCCAGAUACAAAGAAAUCAAGUGCCUUGUAAGUCUGUUUUGUGUGACUUGCUGAAGUCAUGUGCUUUUCUAAUGGCCCAAGAAUACACAUAGAUUCUGUAGGAAAACUAUAGUAGGCUAAAUGAAUUGGAAAGAUUUUAAAUUAUAUAUGUGAGCUUUUGUGGUAUAUUUUCAUAUAUAUUCUAAUUUAGUCUUUAAACUUUUGUUAGGAAUUAUUAGCUGCAUUUUCACAUAUGAGGAAAUUUAAGAUGUGCAGAAUUUGAUAACUUUGCCAAGUCUACAUAAACAGGAAGCUGUGCAGUCAAGGCUCAGAGUUAAUUCUCUCUCCUUUUCAAGACUGUAUUCAAUGGCCAUUUUUUGCUGUACUUCACAGGUAAGCUGUCACUAGCUUAACUUAAAAUGGUUCUAUUUUUCUAUCUCAACUUUUGUUUCAAAUAUAAGGUGACUGCCUAGAUUAUUUAGAAAGCAUUCUUAAUAAUUCUUAAUAAAUAAUUUUGCUGUUUUCUGCAUUUAUAUAGAACUGCACUGUCUGAUAGAGCAGUCUCUUCCUGGCCAGGGGACUUGGGAACUUUCAGCGGAAAAUUGAGAAUCUAUUAUUGCUAAUCUAGGCUUUAAAGCUUUCAUGCACUUGUAGAAAGAAAACUUAAUGGGAGGUAAUUUAUAAGGCUGCUAUCUCAUUAAGGAAUUAUUGGAGAGAGAGAAUUGGAACACCCUGACUCUUUACUAGAGAUAGAUCAAUAGAUAGAUAGAUAGACAGAUAGAUACAUACAUACAUACAUACAUACCACACAUAUAUAUAACAAAAUAGCAAAGACUUUUGGUCAUUUGUAUUUAUUCCUGUCCUCUAUAUGAUAUACUUCUCAAAUGUUAAGCAGUGAUAUUUUUUGCCAUCUCUCUGUCAUUUAUGCAGUGUUAUUACCAAUACUUGUAAGAGGUAGGAGUUUCUGUUCACUGUAAUUUACUAUCAUCAAAUAUCUUGGGCAAGUGUUUUGCCACCUACUGCAGCUGAGCAGUUUAAGGAAUAUAAAUAUUUGAACCUAUAUUACUAAUAAGGUGCAUAAUCCCUUUCUAAGUAUUUAUACAGUCUUUUUUGAAAGAUGAAUAUAAUCUUUGCCAUGAAACCAAAUUGCUUAUUUCCAACGACUCCAAUUUUAUGUUUAAUAAACAUAAAAAAAUUGGAAGAAUGUAUAAACACUAUAUACAUCAAUAGUUCAUUUUAAAAUAUUUAAAUGAUUGAUUUACAAUUGAAAUUUUAAGAAUACUGUAUAAUUAAUCCAGAAGAAAGUGCUGAUUAAUUACAAUCAUGAUCCAAGGGCUUAUAAAUGAUUGCCCACAGAAUGUAGAAGUGAAGGGGUUAUACAUUCUCUCUCAUAAAGUCUUCAAAAUAACCCCUAAAUUUAAUACCUCUAGUAAUUUAAUUUAAAAAAUCAAUAUAGUGCUUCUUGACAUUCUCUAUAGAAAACAGAGUUCAGAAUCAAAGAGAAACUCUUUCUGUGGUCAGGAAAAUGGAUUGAAUCUUAAAACAUAAGGUCAUAUUAUAUAUAAAAUAUAAAAUAUCAGUUAUAUCGGUUCAUUUCAGCUUUUUGAAAUCAGUUAUAUAAGUCAUACAACAGAAGAGCACAGUUUACUCUGAAGUAGUGAGGUUAUAGAGAAUAUCUGAUGAAAUUAAACAUAUAUAAUGUUAAGUUAUGCUUUUAGGGCAUUGUAGCUGUAUUUUAAGUAUAUUUUCUUCCCUAUUGGCUCUUACUGAUGCCAAAUGGAUGUAUUCUUAUGCACUAUUUCAGAUGCUUGAGCAGCUAUUCUGAAUCAUCUAUCUUCCAGCCAUUUCAGAACACUGUGUGUGAGAGAGAGAGUUUCGAAGAAUUUUGUAUUAUUUUUUUAGGGCCGCACCCGCCACAGAUGGAAGUUCCCAGGCUAGGGGGAGAGUCAGAGCUGUAGCCGCUGGGCUACACCACAGCCACAGCAACUUAGGAUCUGAGCCAUAUCUGUGAUCUACACCACAGCUGAUGGCAACGCCAGAUCCUUAACCCACUGAGCGAGGCCAGGGAUUGAACUUGCAUCCUCAGACUGGUUUUGGCUGAUCCAUGACAGGAAUUUCUUUUUUGUUGUUGUAUUUCUUACGCUAUUACAAAACAUAUAGAAUGAAGAAAUAAAGUUUCAUACAUGAUAAAGCAAAAACAUUCUAAGAUCUUGAAUUCUACCCAGUUUUAGAAGAUAUAGAAUCCAGAAUGAAAAGAUUCCACACAUGUGUUGAAAUGAAAUGAUAACAUCAUAUUCCCCUAAUGGUCCCUAGGAUAUUAUACUUUAUUACUGUAUAUCAGAGAUGAAGAAGAAAGCAUGGUAGCAAUGGAUAUGGAAAUAGGAGUCAGUUGGCUGAUGGAGUAAAUGUCUGAUUUGUCUCUUCCUAAUUAUUAUGACUUCAAGAACCUAGAAAAAAUGCCAUUUCUUUAUGCCCAGUGUGAAUACAUAUGUAAACCAAUCUAUCACCAUGUCAAGUUCAGAACAAAUUAAUGUCAUAAUAAAAGCAGCCAGUAUCAUACAACAUACUUGUACUUUUAAAAUUUAUUUUACAGAGGAAUUCUGCAUAUUGUUUCUAAUUGUCAUGUGAUUAAGUGUAUCAAUCUUUCUCAGAAUAUUAUUAAAUGAUGAAAUUUCCAUUUAAAAAUGCACUGUUCUGGAGUUCCUGAUAAGGCUCAGCAAAAAAGAAUCUGACCAGUAUCCAUGAGGAUAUGGGUUUGAGCCCUGGCCUCGCUCUAUGGGCUAAGGAUAAGGUGUUGCUGUGAGCUGUGGUGUAGGUUGCAGAUGUGGCUCAGAUCCUGUGUCGCUGUGGCUGUGGUGAAGGCUGGCAGGUAUGGCUUCAAUUGGACCCCUAGCCUGGGAACUUCCAUAUGCCGCAGGUGCGGCCCUAAAAAGAAAACAAAUGAACAAACAAAAAACAAAAUAACACUGUUAUUUUGGGAAAUUAAGAUCCAUGGAAUAAAUUAUAGUGUGGCAUUCAAUAUUACUAAAAAUUGUAAUGUCCAGAGUAAUUUGUUGAGCAUUGUUCUCACUAAAUUCUUAGUUUUAGAGAAUAGAAAAUAUUAUUAUAAAUGUUAAUAAUCACAGACCCAAAUAUAUUAGAAUACAUCAAAUAGUCCUUUUUCACCUAAAAAUAAAAUCUAGCUAAUAGUCAAUUCUCUUACAUUUCUAAAACAAAGAUUUUGGAAGAGACAAUUCAUGUUAGGAUUAUAUUUUAAUUAAGACAUUAUUUAGGUAUAAAUGAUUAACUGCAAAACACAUUUCAUUUUAAAACAUAGGGCAAAUAAAUAUGUAUUUCCCUUUCAAUUUUAAUUCCUUCUGAAUAUUUAAAAAACUUCAAAUCAGCUGUAGACUUUGUCCUUAGAUAGUAAUAGCUAAACUAAUUUUACAAUUAUAUAUUGGGAAAAAUGUAGGAGUUCCUGUUGUGGCUCAAUAAGUUAAGGACCCAGCAUUGUCUCUGUGAGGAUGUGGGUUCAAUCUCUGGCCUUGCUCAGUGAGUUAAGCAACCGGUGUCGCCAUAAACUGUGGUGUAGGUCACAGAUGCGCCUCAGAUCCGCUGUGGCUGUGGCUGUGGUGUAGGCUGCAGCUGUUACUCCAAUUGGAUAUCUGGCCAAGGAACUUUCAUAUGCUGCAAAUGUGGCUGUAAAAAGAAAAAAAAAGUAUAUAAGGCAAAACACAACGAAAUCAAAUUCUAUGAUGUUUGUAGCAAUAUCCUUAGAAAAUAAAGGAAAUAAUAAGAUAAUGUGAUAACUAGGUUAUUUUUCAUUUACUGUAUGUUUUACUUGUUAGACACUAUAUUGGCCUUCUGCUUUCAAAAAUACAACAUUAAAUCAUUUCUCAGUAUUUUUCCCAGUAGCCUUCAAAUAAAGAAAAUUAGGAUGCCAGAUUUUCUAGAAGAUAAACUUGAAAUACAGUAAGUGCUUUCCUCUCAGGAUUUAUGGAU